AAAGCCAUUAGAAUUUUAUUUUAUAACUGAACACAAGUAUCAAUGUUUACAACAUAUCUUUCACAUUCGAGAAUCAAAAGAAAAUAAUAUAUAUGUCGAAUUAUAAAAUCAUUUCACCUGGUUGUGUAACGAUACAAGAUAGAAAUGAGAAUCUUCCAACCACAACAGUCUAUACGAUAUAUUAAGUAAUUGCCUACUCUCUUCACAAAGCAAACAGCUCAGACAGUUGAGUAUUUAUUGCUACUUCAGACUGCAAAUGCUUUAUACUGAAGCAGGUAUAUACACAAAAGCAUCCAGUGCAUUUAAAUAUCUUCACAAGAAACCUCUUUACCAUUAAAACAAAAUUAUCUAUGGCAAAAUCUCAGAGCCAAAAAAUGCUUUCAUAAAAAAAAAUAUUUGCAAGCAUAUUUUCUCAAUUGUUUGAUGUCAAAGUACUGAAUGCAUUAACAAUAUGUGUAUUUCCCCUCUCCAGUUUGAAUUUAAUUAAUACAAUAAUUUUAUAUACCGGUACAUCUAAUGAUAUUUAUCUAAAAAAUAUAUAUAUGCACACACUUUUGUACAUAAAGAUAUAAAUGUGCAUUGAAUCUAGUAGAUUGAACAUUAAGUAAAAAAAAAAGCUU
rnacentral:sRNA from 1 species